AUAAGGAACAAAACAGGAAAACGCGCCAAGUUCCCGUCGGUGGUGGAGUGAGGAAGACCCUAGCGGUUCGGGCGCCCGGCUAGCGGAGCCGCUUCUGGCGCUCCUUGCCGUCCCGGGGCGGGGGCGGGCGCGGGAGGGCGCCGCUCCGGGGAUGUAGUUGGUGCCCGCCCCAGGCAGGACCGAGCUGCAGCCCGGGUUCCCGCUCUUAAGAGCGAAUGGUCACUUCCCCGCGGGGAGGGCGAUAGGGUCAGCUUUUCCGUGGGUCGGGGGCCCCCGCGGGCCCGGGGCAGGGGCUCACCUGUCGCACCCGCACUGAGCGGGGUUGGACUCGCCGGCGUCACCGCCGCGGACCUCGCUCUGGGCCAUGACCAGAUAUGAUUGGUGAUUACAAGAUCCCUGCAUAAGUUAAUUCCUGUCAACUGCUUGGGAUUUGAGGAGAAAAUGCCUGGUGUCAUACCUAGUGAAAGUAAUGGGCUUUCAAGAGGUAGUCCAUCCAAAAAAAACAGACUUUCCUUGAAGUUUUUUCAGAAAAAGGAAACCAAGAGAGCCUUGGAUUUCACAGAUUCUCAAGAAAAUGAAGAAAAGACUUCUGAAUAUAAAGGGUCUGAAAUUGAUCAAGUUGUUCCUGCGGCACAGUCCUCGCCUAUAAACUGUGAGAAGAGAGAAAAUUUGCUACCAUUUGUGGGACUGAAUAAUCUUGGCAAUACUUGUUAUCUUAAUAGUAUACUUCAGGUUUUAUAGUUUUGUCCUGGUUUUAAAUUUGGAGUGAAGCACUUAUUUAAUAUCAUUUCAAGGAAGAAAGAAGCCCUAAAAGAUGAAGCCAAUCAAAAAGAUAAGGGAACUCAACCCUAUGUAUGAAGGAUAUCUACAGCAUGAUGCACAGGAAGUAUUACAGUGUAUUUUGGGAAACAUUCAAGAAACAUGCCAACUCCUAAAAAAAGAAGAAGUAAAAAAUGUGGAAGACUCAUCUACUAAGGUAGAAGAAUAUCAGAAAGAGGAAAUGAGUGAUAAUAACAGCAUGGAGAUGGACAGUAUGAGGCAUUCUGAAGACUACAGAGAAAAACUCCCAAAAGGAAAUGGGAAAAGAAAAAGUGAUGCUGAAUUUGGUAACAUGAAAAAAAAAGUUAAAAUCUCUAAGGAACACCAGUCUUUGGAAGAAAACCAAAGACAAACCAGAUCAAAAAGAAAAGCUGCAGGUGAUACAUUAGAGAUUCCUCCUAAAAUAAUCCCAAGCACAUUUCUGAAAAUGAGAACGCAAGAUCCUCCCAAAGGAAAUCAAAAGUUAAAAUAAAUUGGUUAAAGUCUGCAGCUAAGCAACCCAGCAUUCUUUCCAAGUUCUGUAGUAUGGGUAAAAUAGCAACAAACCAAGGAUCCAAAGGACAGUGUAAAGAAAAUGAAUAUGAUCUUGAAGAGGACUUGAGGAAGUAUGAAAAUGAUAAUACAACUAAUGAUUGUGAACUUGAGUCUCCAGGGAAUAAUGAUAUGCCCAUUAAUGUUAAUGAAGUUAAGCCCAUAAACAAAGGUGCAGAGCAAAUUGGUUUUGAGCUAGUUGAAAAAUUAUUUCAAGGUCAGCUGGUAUUACGGACUCGUUGCUUAGAAUGUGAAAGUUUAACAGAAAGAAGAGAAGAUUUUCAAGACAUCAGUGUACCAGUGCAAGAAGAUGAGCUUUCCAAAGUAGAGGAGAGUUCUGAAAUUUCUCCAGAGCCCAAAACAGAAAUGAAGACCCUGAGAUGGGCAAUUUCACAAUUUGCUUCAGUGGAAAGGAUUGUAGGAGAAGAUAAAUAUUUCUGUGAAAACUGCCAUCAUUAUACUGAAGCAGAACGAAGUCUUUUGUUUGACAAAAUGCCUGAAGUUAUAACUAUUCAUUUGAAGUGCUUUGCUGCUAGUGGCUUGGAGUUUGACUGUUAUGGUGGUGGACUUUCCAAGAUCAACACUCCUUUACUGACACCUCUUAAAUUGUCACUAGAAGAAUGGAGCACAAAGCCAACCAACGACAGCUAUGGACUAUUUGCAGUUGUGAUGCAUAGUGGCAUUACAAUUAGUAGUGGGCACUAUACUGCUUCUGUUAAAGUCACUGACCUUAACAGUUUAGAACUAGAUAAGGAAAAUUUUGUGAUCGACCAAAUGUGUGAAAUAGGUAAGCCAGAACCAUUGAAUGAGGAGGAAGUAAGGGGUGUGGCUGAAAAUUAUGACAAUGAAGAAGUGUCUGUUAGAGUCAGUGGAAAUAACCAGCCAAGUAAAGUUUUGAACAAAAAAAAUGUAGAAGCUAUUGGACUUCUUGGAGGACAAAAGAGCAAGGCAGAUUACGAGUUAUACAACAAAGUGUCUAAUCCUGAUAAAGUUGCCAGUACAGCACUUCCUGAAAAUAGAAAUUCUGAGACUAACAAUACUAAUGGGACCCAUGAAUCUGAUAGUAACAAGGAAUCCAGUGACCAAACAGGCAUUAACAUUAGUGGUUUUGAGAACAAAAUUUCAUAUGUAGUGCAAAGCUUAAAGGAGUAUGAGGGGAAGUGGUUGCUUUUUGAUGAUUCUGAAGUGAAAGUUACUGAAGAGAAGGACUUUUUGAAUUCUCUUUCCCCUUCUACAUCUCCUACAUCUACUCCUUACUUGCUAUUUUAUAAGAAAUUAUAGAGUGAUUGUAUUUUCCUUGUGUAUAUAUUAAAGAGACAUGGAUAAACAAUGGUAAAUUGAUUACAUCAAAGUAGCUUAUCUUUUGAAGCUAUUGGAUAUUAUUGGUCUCUAGGUUUUUAUAUAAAUAGUGAAAUUUGAAUUAUUGAAAACCAUGUUAAUUUUUAGAAUUCAUUUUCCUUAGUAGAGACUAGUGAUAACAUUAGCUUCUGGGAACAAACUUGUAUAGGUUCUUAACUGAAUUAUUCAAAAUUGAAGCAUUUAAACACUUUUGAAUUUACAUCUAUCUUUUGUGUUUGCUUUUUAAAAUAAAGUGCUUGUAUUUGUAUCUCCAUAUUUUGGAGUAAUUAUAUACACAAUGUUUAUAGGUCUUGUGGUUUUUCAGCUAAGGAGCAGAAUCUCAUUUCAGUACAUAUAGUUUUGUAAAUCAUAAACCAAACCUUAGAUGGGCUAUAGUACAGGCACAAACCCUGGAAUAUGUAUGUAUUCACAACAGUGUACAUUUUGUGCCUUGAAUCACUUUGAAAAAUAUCCCAGAAAACCUAUAGAGUCAGUCCUCUUCUAUCUUCACCAGAAUUUUAUGUGUAUUUAUGAAAAUGAUUCUGUAUACUAGUAAAUCUUUGGGGGCAUGGGCUAAUUUGUAUCCCUUCAUAGUCAUACUCUGCACGAUCUGUAUAUAGUACAUCAAACUUAGAGGUGUGACCUUAAAUUUAACUUUUUUAAAAACCAGGAGGUCAAUAAAAUGUAAACUGCUUAA